CAUCUCUCCCUCAGGAAAGCUGAGUCAGCCAUCUUGAAUUUGCCUUGAUGCGGGGAUGUUUGGGCCGCCCGUGUGGAUGUGGAACACAGUUUAAUUUGUUUUAAUUUGUUUGCAAUGCGCACUUUUAUGCUGCCCGCUUGAAACCACCACCACCUCCGUUUUUAUCAUUAGUCUUAUUGCCCUCGUUUUCUUAAGCGCCAUCUUAUCAUCACCUCUGAUUUGCGGGUUUCCUGGAUGAACUACAUUUCCCAUAAUGCAUGUUUGCCCGGGACAUUGACGGUGGAGGAAGGUCCAUGAGUUUUCGCUGUUCGCCGGUAAUGCAAGUGCGUACUGCUCAAGUGUGUGGUUGUGAGAUCAUCUCGAAAUCCUUUUAACAGUUCAGGUAGGAUGUAUUAUGAAAUAGUGUUACUAAU